rnacentral:rRNA from 1 species
CCUACGGGAGGCAGCAGUGGGGAAUAUUGCACAAUGGGGGAAACCCUGAUGCAGCAACGCCGCGUGAGUGAAGAAGUCAUUCGUGAUGUAAAGCUCUAUCAGCAGGGAAGAAAAUGACGGUACCUGACUAAGAAGCCCCGGCUAACUACGUGCCAGCAGCCGCGGUAAUACGUAGGGGGCAAGCGUUAUCCGGAUUUACUGGGUGUAAAGGGAGCGUAGACGGCGACGCAAGUCUGGAGUGAAAUGCCAGGGCUCAACACUGGGACUGCUUUGGAAACUGUGUGGCUGGAGUGCAGGAGAGGUAAGUGGAAUUCCUAGUGGAGCGGUGAAAUGCGUAGAUAUUAGGAGGAAAACCAGUGGCGAAGGCGGCUUACUGGACUGGAACUGACGUUGAGGCUCGAAAGCGUGGGGAGCAAACAGGAUUAGAUACCCCAGUAGUC